rnacentral:sRNA from 1 species
GCCUGGAGCAGUGGUGUACUCCUGUAAUCUCAGCAGCUCGGGAGGCUGAGGCAGGAGGAUUGAGAGUUCAAAGCCAGCCUCAGCACUGAUGAGGCACUAAGCAACUCAGUGAGACCCUGUCUCUA